rnacentral:rRNA from 1 species
GGCUACGAGGACGAACGGCUGGCGGCGUGCCUAAUACAUGCAAGUCGAACGGUCUUUCUAUGGAAGCUUGCUUCCACUGAGAAGAUAGUGGCGAACGGGUGAGUAACACGUGGGUAACCUGCCCAUAAGAGGGGGGAUAACAUCCGGAAACGGGUGCUAAUACCGCAUAGUUUUCUUGGUCGCAUGAUCGGGAAAGGAAAGACGGCCUUUGUGCUGUCGCUUAUGGAUGGACCCGCGGCGUAUUAGUUAGUUGGUGAGGUAACGGCUCACCAAGACGAUGAUACGUAGCCGACCUGAGAGGGUGAUCGGCCACAUUGGGACUGAGACACGGCCCAAACUCCUACGGGAGGCAGCAGUAGGGAAUCUUCCGCAAUGGACGAAAGUCUGACGGAGCAACGCCGCGUGAGUGAAGAAAGGUUUUCGGAUCGUAAAACUCUGUUGUCAGAGAAGAACAAGUUGGAGAGUAACUGCUCCAGCCUUGACGGUAUCUGACCAGAAAGCCACGGCUAACUACGUGCCAGCAGCCGC